AAAGGGUGCGCAGGUGGUUUGAUAAGUCUGGUUUGAAAGUUGGUCGCUUAACGAUCAAGGGUGGCUGGAUACUGUUGAACUUGAAUAUGGUGGAGGGAGCUGGAACGGGUUGUGUAGCGGUGAAAUGCAUAGAUAUGACCCAGAACACCGAUUGCGAAGGCAGGCUCCUACGCCAUGAUUGACACUGAGGCACGAGAGCAGGGGUAGCGAACAGGAUUAGAUACCCGAGU
rnacentral:rRNA from 1 species